rnacentral:tRNA from 1 species
GCGAUCAUAGCUCAACUGGAUAGAGCGUUGGUCUACGGAACCAAAGGUUGGGGGUUCGACUCCCUCUGGUCGCACCA